AUUGAACGCUGGCGGCAGGCUUAACACAUGCAAGUCGAGCGAGCGGCGGACGGGUGAGUAAUGUCUGGGAAACUGCCUGAUGGAGGGGGAUAACUACUGGAAACGGUAGCUAAUACCGCAUACAAUCAAUGUUCCCAGGAUGGGAUUAGCUAGUAGGUGGGGUAAUGGCUCACCUAGGCGACGAUCCCUAGCUGGUCUGAGAGGAUGACCAGCCACACUGGAACUGAGACACGGUCCAGACUCCUACGGGAGGCAUCAGUGGGGAAUAUUGCACAAUGGGCGCAAGCCUGAUGCAGCCAUGCCGCGUGUGUGAAGAAGGCCUUCGGGUUGUAAAGCACUUUCAGCGAGGAGGCGUUACUCGCAGAAGAAGCACCGGCUAACUCCGUGCCAGCAGCCGCGGUAAUAC
rnacentral:rRNA from 1 species